rnacentral:rRNA from 2 species
UUGACCUCAAAUCAGGUAGGACUACCCGCUGAACUUAAGCAUAUCAAUAAGCGGAGGAAAAGAAACUAACAAGGAUUCCCCUAGUAACUGCGAGUGAAGAGGGAAAAGCUCAAAUUUAAAAUCUGAUAGUCUCUGGCUGUCCGAGUUGUAAUUUAGAGAAGUGUUACCCGUGUUGGACCGUGUACAAGUCUCCUGGGAUGGAGCGUCAUAGAGGGUGAGAAUCCCGUCUUUGACACGGACUACCAAUGCAUUGUGGUGCGCUCUCGAAGAGUCGAGUUGUUUGGGAAUGCAGCUCUAAAUGGGUGGUAAAUUCCAUCUAAAGCUAAAUAUUGGGGAGAGACCGAUAGCGAACAAGUACCGUGAGGGAAAGAUGAAAAGAACUUUGGAAAGAGAGUUAAACAGUACGUGAAAUUGCUGAAAGGGAAACGCUUGAAGUCAGUCGCGUUAGCUGGGGAUCAGCCUUCCUUUUGGUUGGUGUAUUUCCUAGUUGAUGGGUCAGCAUCAGUUUUGACCAGUGGAUAAAAGCUUGAGGAAUGUGGCAUCCUCGGAUGUGUUAUAGCCUCUUGUUGUAUACAUUGGUUGGGACUGAGGAAUUCAGCA